CCUACGGGGGGCUGCAGUGGGGAAUAUUGGACAAUGGGCGCAAGCCUGAUCCAGCCAUGCCGCGUGAGUGACGAAGGUCUUCGGAUUGUAAAGCUCUUUUGGCGGGGACGAUAAUGACGGUACCCGCAGAAUAAGCCCCGGCUAACUUCGUGCCAGCAGCCGCGGUAAUACGAAGGGGGCUAGCGUUGUUCGGAAUCACUGGGCGUAAAGCGCACGUAGGCGGAUUUGUUAGUCAGGGGUGAAAUCCCGGGGCUCAACCUCGGAACUGCCUCUGAUACUGCAAAUCUCGAGUCCGAUAGAGGUGAGUGGAAUUCCUAGUGUAGAGGUGAAAUUCGUAGAUAUUAGGAAGAACACCAGUGGCGAAGGCGGCUCACUGGAUCGGUACUGACGCUGAGGUGCGAAAGCGUGGGGAGCAAACAGGAUUAGAUACCCCGGUAGUC
rnacentral:rRNA from 1 species